UAGACGGCUGGACAUUCUUCUUGUACCUUGGCGCUAGCUGGAUGACGGGACCUCAUCAUGAUCAGUGUAUUGCUUGCCUAUGUCUACAAGAACCUUCACGCGUGGCCUGUGACAGCAAGCUUUUGUGGGCAGCCAGUGCUCUCCUACGAAGGCUGGCCUGCUAUGGCAGCGGCGGCAAUCAUCUUCAAGAUUUAUCCAUGCUCACCUUUGCUGCUAUUUGUCACUCUUAUUAAUUACACUGUCUGCAUCUUUUCUAAUUUAUUAGGUAAUAAAGUAUGACUAUGUGA
rnacentral:lncRNA from 1 species